AUCAGUUUUCCUACUGUCAUGUCAGUCAUUGCAUACCUUAGAGCAGCGGUCCCCAACCUUUUUUGGGCCAUGGACUGGUUUAAUGUCAGACAAUAUUUUCACGGACCGGCCUUUAAGGUGUGGCGGAUAAAUACACAAAAUGAAAUGAUACGACCAGCAUGAAAACUGUGGUAUUUUUUAAAUAUAAUAAUAAACGUGAAUCCACUGUGUACUCGUAUGCAACUUUAUUAGCAGCGUCCUCGUAACAUCGCACCAACAACAUAACAUGAGUAACAUCCUCUAUGCCCCCUAACACUCUCUGGUCGCUAUGGUAACAUUUAAACAUGCCUUAAAAAUAAGAUACAACACAAAAACAAAUAUAAAGUGCAUGAAAAAUACAAUUCACCAUAACGCUAAAUCAGUGGGAGCCCUGAGCUUGUUUCUCUGCAACGAGACGGUCCCAUCUAGGGGUAAUGGGAGACAAUGACACCCGAAGUGUGUUGCUUAUGUCCAGUCUACUCCGUCAUUUUGUUUUGGUUGCUGUCACUGCAGAAAAUCCCGCUUCACACAAAUAGGAUGUCGGAAAUGGCAACAGGGUUUUCAAUGCUGUUGUGGCGAUCUCAGGGUAUUCUGCCGUGGCUUUAAUCCAGAACACCGGCAGAGUUGUUGUCUCGAACAUACUUUUAAGGCCGCCGUGACUUGCGAUCUCCAGCAGUUGAUCUUCUUCUUGCAUAGAUAUGCUGGAUUCACCUGGUUUGUUGACAAAUGGGUCGCGGAUCCAUUCCUUGGCAGUUCGUGGGUCUUUUGUGGUUGGGAAGUAGCGCUCAAACUCUUUUAAAAGCAAGGUGAUCGUGCACCAGCUGGGACAAUGAAGGCUCGGGCUCAGUCUCUUCCAAAAUCCCCGCGAAUGUUUGAAACAUGUCAAAUAUACCUCUGUUCACGCGCCGUCCCCACAAAUCCAGUUUGGCUUUAAAUGCAGCUACUUUAUCUGCCAACUUGAAGACAGUUGUCAUUUUCCCCUGAAGUGACCGAUUGAGUUCAUUGAGCAGGUUGAAUAUGUCGCACAAGUAAGCGGGUUUUGCGACCCAUUCCUCGUCACUGAAAUGUGCUGCCAGCGGUGACUUUUUUUCUAAGAGAAAUCUCUGCAGCGGCUCUCGUAAUUCAAACACUCUGUCCAGCGAUCUCCCUCGGGAUAACCAUCUUAUUUCUGUGUAUAAGAGAAGGUGUCUGUGCUCCGCGUUCAUUUUUCAAAAUAAAACAUCGUUCAGACUCAGAUAAUAAAUGAAACGGAAAUAAUCGGAUUACUGGGGGCCACUGUUCAAGAAGUCUACUGUGACCUGUAUGUGUCUCUCUAUGGAGGAGGUAGCCUACAAACAGAGCUCAGUAUUUCAUCUCUCUCUCUCUCUCUCUCUCUCGCUCUCUCUCUGUCACAUCUCUCUCUCUUUCUCUCUCUCUUGCUCCCUCUCUUUCUCUCUCUGUCUCACUGUCUCUCUCUCUCUUUCUCUCUCUCUCUCGCUCUCUCACUUUCUCUCUCUCUCUUUCUCUCUCUCUCUCUUUCUCUCUCUCUCACUCUCUCUCUGUCACAUCUCUCUCUCUUUCUCUCUCUCUCUUUCUCUCUCUCUUGCUCUCUCUCUUUCUCGCUCUGUCUCGCUGUCUCUCUCUCUCUUUG
rnacentral:lncRNA from 1 species